UGAUCCGGCUGCUUGAAUAGUUUUAAACAUUCUUCAUGGUAGGCAGUCAUGGGAGGGUGCUGCAGAAUUCCUGCUCCCUUCCAAUGUCAAUUUUGGGUACUCCAGGGCACAGACACGGAGUUCGGUUUCCAGCAUAACACCUGGCAGUAAGAGGAUGAGAAAGGCUUGGAAAGUGGAGAUUAGAAAGACCUGAACACAAGUUUAAGUAUCAUCUUCCUGGAUCUGGCCACACUGCUGCUGAAUCAAUGUGGGGAACUGUGGACCUGUUGGUGCAAUGAAUUUGAGAAGCUUCUGUGCUGCAGAGCUCCAAGGCUGGUCCUGGUAGACUGGUGCUACCCCAAGGAUGUCCCAUCUUGAAUGCACGUAUAUUCUGGAGCAAGACUUCUAAGGAAGCUACAGAAAACAGUGAGCCUGAGAGAAUCACAGAGUCAAUGAACAAAUGUUUAAACAGUCACUUAAUGGCUACUAAACUGAUAGAAACUAACAACCAGUUGUCUACAGUGUUUCCUAAUUUGGGCUGAUCAGAUUCAUCUGUGAAACUUAAAAAAUACAAAAAUAUUAAAGGAAGGAAUUCUUAUGGUGACCAAAGUAUAAAAGUUCAUAAACAUAAAAAGUUCGUCUCCUCUCUCCCACCCCCAAAUAUCUUGAUCCCUAAAUGUAACUAUCAAAAAAACAAAGUUCCUUGGGAAAUUUGCUGUUAAUAAACAAAGCAGAUAGACAGAUACAUAUAGAUAAAAUGAUAUCAUGCUCUUCAUAUUAUUCUGCAACUUGUUUUUCACUUGAGCAAUCAGAAUAUACAGAUCUAUUUUUAUCUGGUGGUCUGAAUUGAAGGACGCUCACAUGGCUUUGACUGUCUUUUCCUGCUGGAGAUGUGUGGGUGAGACAAAGGCAUAGAAGCCACUGGUCCUCUAACUUUACCUGGAGGGCAUGUUCAAGUGAGAUUACUACUCACAUCCUCCCCAUUCCGC
rnacentral:lncRNA from 1 species